rnacentral:rRNA from 1 species
CGGGGUGAGUAACACGUGGAUAAUCUGCCCUGCACAGGGGGACAACAGCUAGAAAUGGCUGCUAAUACCGCAUAAGCCUACAGCCUCGCAUGAGGGAGUAGGAAAAGAAAUUCGGUGCAGGAUGAGUCCGCGUCUGAUUAGCUAGUUGGAGGGGUAAAAGCCCACCAAGGCAACGAUCAGUAGCCGGCCUGAGAGGGCGACCGGCCACAUUGGGACUGAGACACGGCCCAAACUCCUACGGAAGGCAGCAG